GCUGGGAUGGCGGAAUUGGCAGACGCGCACGGUUCAGGGCCGUGUGGGAGAAAUCCCAUGGGAGUUCAAAUCUCCCUCCCAGCA
rnacentral:tRNA from 3 species